AAAACAAUUCACAUUCCCGCUGAGAAAGGGGGGACAGGCCUACGUAUAAUAGGUUAUUUAUCUGGAAAAUGAUUCCUCUAUACACAUUGAAAAUGCAAACGCACGGUGUAUAUUUAUACUUCCACUGUAUAGCUUUGAAACAUGACAAUUGGGAAAGUGUUUAUGAAUCAUGAUAUGAAUGCUUGCGUCAUCCAGACAGACAGCCCAACGGUCAGACAGACUUACUGCCCGAUUGACUGACACACAGCAAGACAGCCCGACAGACAGACAACCCGACGGUGAGUGACCAAAACAGUCUAUUUAUUUCGUCAUCUUGGCGGUAAACUGCAUUCUUGUCGUGAUCAUGAACUUUGUAACCCUGUAACAACCGUGUCGCAAGGUCUCUCGGUAGUGGAUACGAAUGAAAAAUGAUAUUGCAGGGAAAAGGAGCUUAGAAGACUGUGUAAGAUAGAAAAAAUAUCAUCAUGUUGUAUAAGGUUAAAAAUGGCGGAAUGUACCAUAAAGGUAU